rnacentral:ncRNA from 1 species
UAAAGAUAGAGGUGCGGUCGCGAUCAGUAGGCGGCAGACGUUAACGGACAGCUCCCGGCUGUCUGGUCUGUUAGCUGAAAGGCAACACCGCCGAAGCUCUGACGCUCGGGACGUCUCUGCUGACUGUUCGGUGAACAGCCGUUCAGUUGUCAUCAUGCGUUAUGAUGGAGUGCUAUCGG